rnacentral:rRNA from 1 species
AUUGAACGCUGGCGGCAGGCCUAACACAUGCAAGUCGAACGAGUGGCGGACGGGUGAGUCAUGUCUGGGACACUGCCUGAUGGAGGGGGAUAACUACUGGAAACGGUAGCUAAUACCGCAUACCAUCAGAUGUGCCCAGGUGGGAUUAGCUAGUAGGUGGGGUAACGGCUCACCUAGGCGACGAUCCCUCGCUGGUCUGAGAGGAGGAACAGCCACACUGGAACUGAGACACGGUCCAGACUCCUACGGGAGGCAGCAGUGGGGAAUAUUGCACAAUGGGCGAAAGCCUGAUGCAGCCAUGCCGCGUGUGUGAAGAAGGCCUUCGGGUUGUAAAGCACUUUCAGCGGGGAGGCGUUACCCGCAGAAGAAGCACCGGCUAACUCCGUGCCAGCAGCCGCGGUAAUUC